rnacentral:rRNA from 1 species
UACGGAGGGGGCAAGCGUUAUUCGGAAUUAUUGGGCGUAAAGGGCGCGUAGGCGGCUAGAUGUGUCAAAGGUGAAAUCCCUCGGCUCAACUUAGGAAGUGCGCCCGAAACUGCAGAGCUUGAGUGCCGGAGAGGGUGGCGGAAUUCCCCAAGUAGAGGUGAAAUUCGUAGAUAUGGGGAGGAACACCGGUGGCGAAGGCGGCCACCUGGACGGCAACUGACGCUGAGACGCGAAAGCGUGGGGAGCAAACAGG